GACGAAGGGGGCAAGCGUUGUUCGGAAUUACUGGGCGUAAAGGGCGCGUAGGCGGUUCUUUAAGUCAGGCGUGAAAGCCCUGGGCUCAACCUGGGAGUGGCGCUUGAUACUGGGGGACUAGAGAGUGGGAGAGGUUGGUGGAAUUCCCAGUGUAGAGGUGAAAUUCGUAGAUAUUGGGAAGAACUCCGGUGGCGAAGGCGGCCAACUGGACCAUUUCUGACGCUGAGGCGCGAAAGCGUGGGGAGCAAACAGG
rnacentral:rRNA from 1 species